rnacentral:rRNA from 1 species
UACGGGAGGCAGCAGUGGGGAAUAUUGGACAAUGGGCGGAAGCCUGAUCCAGCAACGCCGCGUGAGGGAUGACGGCCUUCGGGUUGUAAACCUCUUUCAGUACCGACGAAGCGCAAGUGACGGUAGGUACAGAAGAAGCACCGGCCAACUACGUGCCAGCAGCCGCGGUAAUACGUAGGGUGCGAGCGUUGUCCGGAAUUAUUGGGCGUAAAGGGCUCGUAGGCGGUUUGUCGCGUCGGGAGUGAAAACACCGGGCUUAACUCGGUGCUUGCUUCCGAUACGGGCAGACUAGAGGCAUUCAGGGGAGAACGGAAUUCCUGGUGUAGCGGUGAAGUGCGCAGAUAUCAGGAGGAACACCGGUGGCGAAGGCGGUUCUCUGGGAAUGUCCUGACGCUGAGGAGCGAAAGUGUGGGGAGCGAACAGGAUUAGAUACCCUGGUAGUCCACACCGUAAACGUUGGGCGCUAGGUGUGGGGCCUAUUCCAUGGGUUCCGUGCCGUAGCUAACGCAUUAAGCGCCCCGCCUGGGGAGUACGGCCGCAAGGCUAAAACUCAAAGGAAUUGACGG